UACCACGUGCAGGUUUAUGGGUAGGAG
rnacentral:sRNA from 1 species